rnacentral:rRNA from 2 species
GCAGCUAACGCAUUAAGCACUCCGCCUGGGGAGUACGACCGCAAGGUUGAAACUCGAAGGAAUUGACGGGGACCCGCACAAGCGGUGGAGCAUGUGGUUUAAUUCGAAGCAACGCGAAGAACCUUACCAAAUCUUGACAUCCUCUGACCCCUCUAGAGAUAGAGUUUUCCCCUUCGGGGGACAGAGUGACAGGUGGUGCAUGGUUGUCGUCAGCUCGUGUCGUGAGAUGUUGGGUUAAGUCCCGCAACGAGCGCAACCCUUAAGCUUAGUUGCCAUCAUUAAGUUGGGCACUCUAAGUUGACUGCCGGCGACAAACCGGAGGAAGGUGGGGAUGACGUCAAAUCAUCAUGCCCCUUAUGAUUUGGGCUACACACGUGCUACAAUGGACAAUACAAAGGGCAGCGAAACCGCGAGGUCAAGCAAAUCCCAUAAAGUUGUUCUCAGUUCGGAUUGUAGUCUGCAACUCGACUAUAUGAAGCUGGAAUCGUUAGUAAUCGUAGAUUAGCAUGCUACGGUGAAUACGUUCCCGGGCCUUGUACACACCGCC